AGCGGGUGCUAAUACUGCAAGUCGAACGAACUCUGGUAUUGAUUGGUGCUUGCAUCAUGAUUUACAUUUGAGUGAGUGGCGAACUGGUGAGUAACACGUGGGAAACCUGCCCAGAAGCGGGGGAUAACACCUGGAAACAGAUGCUAAUACCGCAUAACAACUUGGACCGCAUGGUCCGAGUUUGAAAGAUGGCUUCGGCUAUCACUUUUGGAUGGUCCCGCGGCGUAUUAGCUAGAUGGUGGGGUAACGGCUCACCAUGGCAAUGAUACGUAGCCGACCUGAGAGGGUAAUCGGCCACAUUGGGACUGAGACACGGCCCAAACUCCUACGGGGAGGCAGCAGUAGGGAAUCUUUCCACAAUGGACGAAAGUCUGAUGGAGCAACGCCGCGUGAGUGAAGAAGGGUUUCGGCUCGUAAAACUCUGUUGUUAAAGAAGAACAUAUCUGAGAGUAACUGUUCAGGUAUUGACGGUAUUUAACCAGAAAGCCACGGCUAACUACGUGCCAGCAGCCGCGGUAAUACGUAGGUGGCAAGCGUUGUCCGGAUUUAUUGGGCGUAAAGCGAGCGCAGGCGGUUUUUUAAGUCUGAUGUGAAAGCCUUCGGCUCAACCGAAGAAGUGCAUCGGAAACUGGGAAACUUGAGUGCAGAAGAGGACAGUGGAACUCCAUGUGUAGCGGUGAAAUGCGUAGAUAUAUGGAAGAACACCAGUGGCGAAGGCGGCUGUCUGGUCUGUAACUGACGCUGAGGCUCGAAAGUAUGGGUAGCAAACAGGAUUAGAUACCCUGGUAGUCCAUACCGUAAACGAUGAAUGCUAAGUGUUGGAGGGUUUCCGCCCUUCAGUGCUGCAGCUAACGCAUUAAGCAUUCCGCCUGGGGAGUACGGCCGCAAGGCUGAAACUCAAAGAAAUUGACGGGGGCCCGCACAAGCGGUGGAGCAUGUGGUUUAAUUCGAAGCUACGCGAAGAACCUUACCAGGUCUUGACAUACUAUGCAAAUCUAAGAGAUUAGACGUUCCCUUCGGGGACAUGGAUACAGGUGGUGCAUGGUUGUCGUCAGCUCGUGUCGUGAGAUGUUGGGUUAAGUCCCGCAACGAGCGCAACCCUUAUUAUCAGUUGCCAGCAUUAAGUUGGGCACUCUGGUGAGACUGCCGGUGACAAACCGGAGGAAGGUGGGGAUGACGUCAAAUCAUCAUGCCCCUUAUGACCUGGGCUACACACGUGCUACAAUGGAUGGUACAACGAGUUGCGAACUCGCGAGAGUAAGCUAAUCUCUUAAAGCCAUUCUCAGUUCGGAUUGUAGGCUGCAACUCGCCUACAUGAAGUCGGAAUCGCUAGUAAUCGCGGAUCAGCA
rnacentral:rRNA from 1 species